AACGAACGCUGGCGGCAUGCCUAACACAUGCAAGUCGAACGAGACCUUCGGGUCUAGUGGCGCACGGGUGCGUAACGCGUGGGAACCUGCCCUUAGGUUCGGAAUAACUCCCCGAAAGGGGUGCUAAUACCGGAUAAUGUCUUCGGACCAAAGAUUUAUCGCCUUUGGAUGGGCCCGCGUUGGAUUAGCUAGUUGGUAGGGUAAAAGCCUACCAAGGCGACGAUCCAUAGCUGGUCUGAGAGGAUGAUCAGCCACACUGGGACUGAGACACGGCCCAGACUCCUACGGGAGGCAGCAGUGGGGAAUAUUGGACAAUGGGCGAAAGCCUGAUCCAGUAAUGCCGCGUGAGUGAUGAAGGCCUUAGGGUUGUAAGGCUCUUUUACCCGGGAUGAUAAUGACAGUACCGGGAGAAUAAGCUCCGGCUAACUCCGUG
rnacentral:rRNA from 1 species